ACAACCCUGGGGUGUUCGCCAGUCAACGAAUGUCCUGAGCCGAUAGCGUUACCCCCGGAAGUUCGUUGUUGCCACUGUUGUGCAAGUCCGUGCGGCGGAAAGCCUGAUGUGGUACUGGAGCCUCCACCUUGAAUCGUACGGUUCAAGGCUAACGUUGACAGCGGCACACCUGGGGCCUUU
rnacentral:other from 1 species